AGGCUGCAAGAAAUUGAAAGAAAGGAAGAUAAAGGAAUCUGUUAUAAAUACAGUAAACUUGGAGCAUCCUUCUUCAAAGACAUGAAUGUUUUGGUCACUGCUGGACAAAGAAUUUCCUUGUAUCAGAACAGCAGAAGAAUGUGAAGAAUUAGGAAAGUUGGUAAAACCACACAGGAGGCCAAAGAAGUGAGCAUUGACCUCCAGGCUGAGAGAUCCAAAGAACGUAGAGCCAUGCCAUUGAGAAUCACUAGAGUUGAGAUCUGGAAGGAAUGCGGAAGACCACCUGCUCCAGUCCCACCAAUUUCAGAAAUGGGAAAACCAAGACCUAGAGCCGUGAAGUGGUUUGUUCAAGGUUGUACAAUAAGUGUAAAACAAACAUGAGAAUGCCAGGACUCACCUAGUUCUUUCAUCAGUGGUAUAAAGCACGUACAGUUGCAGUAUUUGCUUUCCACAAAGGUGACCAUGAGUCUUACGGUCUCACAUCUGGACCACGCAUACUGGUCCUUCGACUCAAGUAAGAGAGCUCUGGUGAGUGGAAAUGGCUCUUUCUGUGUCAGUUCAAUGAAUUCAGAGUCCUAAUGAUGAAAAUAAAUUUCUCCGAGCCAACUGUCACACCCAGACAGCAAAUGCCAGUCGUCUUUAGUGGACUUUCUUUAUUCUCCUUCUAGUAUUUACCCUUAGGGCUGGAGAACACACUCCCCUGCUACUCUCAAACAUUCCAUGGCAGGCAAAUUUCAAACAUUUCUAUAAAAGCACUUUGCAAAACAGUGCGUGCUCCCAAUGCUGGUAUGGAAUCUCUAAAAUCCUAACUACCUUUUGGAGGAGCUGGUUUUGUCAUGAUUUAUUUUGGUCUUCUGCCUAAACAAUUCAUUUGGGUCUUCAGUAUUCUCUUCAGGCAUCUGACUCUCAUGUUCUUGCUUGGAUUAAGGUGAUGUAGAAACCGCAAUCUGAUUAAGCUGGUAAUCAGUCCAAACACUAUAAAUACGUGUUAUUUCCCAGGGCAGGCCUAUAAAUGGUCUCUGAUCCUCACCCAAAAUGGCACAGUGAUGAAGGAAUGGCAUGGCCAGGUAAGGACAGAAAUGAUGAACGAGAAGCUCACUGUCUAGUCCCAACUAUUCACACACUUUGUGGUUUUUAGUCAAGUCACUUAAUCUAUUCAGAGCUUCAUGUUUCUCCAUAAAAUACCGGGUCUGUCUAAUCUGUACUAGCCAAUACGGGGGCUAUUAGCCCCUGUGGCUACUUACCACACAAACUGUAGCUUGGCUGAUUGAAGCACGAAAAUUUUAAUUUUACUUAACUUGUUUAAAGUAAAAAAAUCAAUACAAUUCAGUGACUGGAGGAAGUGUGGUUUUU